GUUCCUGCGGGAUCGGUUCCCAUCAUCCAAUACCUCCCACCAGACUCCACUUCCAUCAUUGGAGGUCACAUUUCAACUAAGAUUUGGAGGGGACCGUAUCCUAACUAUAUUAACUUCCAAUUUUCAUCGAAAGCCCACCUGUCUAAGAAGAGCUCCUAGACAUUCCCUUUCCCCUUCAACUUGGAGGAAUUGGGAAUGACAAAGAGAAAUUAAUCAAAAGAAGAAUUAAUCUCUCCAAUCAGCCUUGGCAUUUUCUUUCUAUCUUUGAUAUGUUGUUUUUUACAGUGUCUUGGUUUUCAGAAUAAGCUGUUUGUAACUACUUCCUCCACUAUAUUGUGAGCCUCUGGAGGGCAAGGUCUGGGCCUUACUCAUCUUUGAGUAAUUUUAAAGCCACUAAAUAGGGCUCUGCACAUAGUGAGAAUUCAACAUAUGCUUAGUUGAAUCUAAUAUUUCAGAAAAAGUCAACAUCUAUUCUUUAAGAUAGCCCACAGCAGGCUGAGUGUGUUAUUCGUAAAUCCAUUGGCCAGCGUCAUUUCCUCCAAAGUGCAGCAUUUUUGAUAGAACCAAAGGCUCAUGACUGACCUUCAGAAAGACAUUUUGUAUUUCACCAUCAAAGAGUGGUAUGGGUUUUAUUAGACUUCCGUAAUCCAGGUCUCGUUUCUCAGGCAACUCUGAAGCGUAUCACACUUUAUCUGAGAGGGUCACAAUUAGUGAAGGAAGGAAUUGGCCUUUGCAAGUUUGUGUUGCUCACGAACUUAUUAAAUUGCUUGAUUUUUUUUUUUCUUCCUAGCUUUGAUAGAUUGACUUUGCCUCUUUUACUGCGUGCAUAGUGCCAUCUUGUGGCCAUAAAGCAUAUAACACUCAUAGUUAUGCCACAGUGCUUCUGUUCCAUCUUAUUUCUGUAGUCCAGAGGAUCUCUUAAGUGUAGAAACACAUGGAUUAUUACUAGCCAAGGCCAUCACUGGCCAAGCCCAUCUAAAAGCCAGAGGCAGCAAGCAGUGCCCGUUGAAACAUCCAUAAAAGAAAGUCAGAUUUAAUGAUCUGAAAUGUCUCAUUUUUAGGUGAUAUUUGGUUAGCAACGUCCUACUGUAGACAUUUUGAUGUGGUGGUGAUUGGAAUAUGGUCUGCAGAGAUCAACCAGAAUUAGCUCCAUGUGCCACUGGGAGUGGGAACUGAAGUCACGCAGGAAUAAACCAGUCUUCAUGCUUUAGGAUGUUCUGAUGUGCCAUUGUCGUGAAAUCUUCAUUCAUGAGACAUUCCAGUUUACCGGCAGUGUCGACUAGAAUAUGCUACAGCCCCCAAAAUACGUUUUUAGUAUAAGGAUUAUUUUGAGCUGAUUAUUUUGAGAAAUAGCAGACGCAGGAGAAACUCUGAAGACAGAACGCAAACUUCAGCUAGUGUCUUGAAUUUAAGUCCCAAAUCAUCUAAGAAGCGGUCAUCUAGCUCUCCUUCAAUAAAACUGCAACAACCAAUAGAAGCAUUCAGCGAUUCAGUUUCUUCCUGAGAAUAAACCAGAAGGCAAUCUUUGGCUGUGUGAUUUUCAUCUUCCUCAGUGUUAUAUAUCCUCUGCCUCUCCUACGGAGCUCAUCCCUACCAAGCCUGCUCCUGCAGAGGGAUGCAACUUUCCGACCCACUGACAUCUGUCUUGGUCAUAUGACUUGCUUUGGUCAAUGAAAUGUGGUGUAAAAAGGUGGAGGCUUUGAGAGCCAUUGCCUGGUUCUGCCUUGUUCUUUUCUUUGGGUCACAAGGACGGCAGCUUCCCAGGUACAAUCUGCUCUCUCAGUGUGCAUCUUGAUAUGAAGACAUCAUGAAGGAAAGCAGAGCUGACUGACUGGCAAAAACAUAACUGUGGAUAGAACCCAAAGAGAAAACAAAGCCCAAACAGUCUCAGCUCCUUUACUCUAUGCGACCAAUGGCAUUUCAACCUCCCUCUACAGUUUGAUACCUUCUUCUAUAGUUACAGAAUUCUUAACUUUGUUUUGACCUGGAUCCAUGGCCACCCAAAAUAAAGACUAUAUUUCUAA
ensembl:lncRNA DSG2-AS1 DSG2 antisense RNA 1